UACGAGGGGGGCGAGCGUUGUUCGGAAUUAUUGGGCGUAAAGGGUGCGUAGGCGGUUUGGUAAGUCUUAUGUGAAAUCUACAGGCUCAACUUGUAGUCUGCAUGAGAAACGGCCGGGCUUGAGUAUGGGAGAGGUGAGUGGAAUUCCUGGUGUAGCGGUGAAAUGCGUAGAUAUCAGGAGGAACACCGGUGGCGAAGGCGGCCUGCUGGGCAGUGGCUGACGCUGAGGCGCGACAGCGUGGGGAGCAAACAGG
rnacentral:rRNA from 1 species